rnacentral:lncRNA from 1 species
CACGCGUGUCCUUUUUGAGGAACUUAUUUCCAGGAGGAAAACGAGUUAAACCAUUUUUCUCUCACAAUAUGCAGUUCCCUCUCGGUUACAUUGAUGUCUUUUUUUGGGGGUAUGUAUAAAAAAUCACAAUGAUGAGUUUUGGGAUAAUAUUUGGAAGGAAAGGUCCACGAUUUUCCAUUUUCCAUUUUAGUUUUUUUUUCUCUCUCUCUCUUGCUCGCUGUAAAGCCAUCUCCUUACCUGGGAUGGAGCUCUGUUACGUUCUUGUCAGUGGAGUUUAACAAGGGAGGAGAAGUGGCUGCAUUGUCUGAGGUUUGCUGAGCUGUAAAUCACACAAUUGAACAAGGAGUUUUAAAAACCUUGUUUCAGUGCAGGUGGAAAAACAAAAAUCUUUUCUUUUUUUUUGUUCUAAAUAAAUUUGGAACUUUAUUUGAAUUCAACCUGUGGGAAGAAGUCUGGUGCAGGAUGUAUGGAUAAUUCCAUUCGAGGCACUCUCAAUGGCUCAUCAGAGCUUAUGCCGUUUUCUAGGUGUGAAGUGAUCAGAGAGCAUAUGGCCCCCUGGAUAGAGAGAUGGUGGACUGGAGCAACUGGGAUAAAGGGGCUUCACACGAGGUACAACAGCUGUGUUUGAACCCACAACCUACCAGCUACGAAAGCCGCACAAGUACUCGCCAGCAUCAGAGGCCACCAGUGGCUGGAUGGACACCCGGGCCAAAAGGGUGCUGCUGGUCUUCGUGAUGGACAUGGAGACCCUGUCCUGCUGCCCGUCCGUGCUGGUCUUCAGAAUGAGCAGGCAGGGGUCCGCGCUCUGCUUCCGGCACCAGGCCACCGUCGGCUGGGCGGCUAUGGGGUCACACUCACACAGGAUCAGGCAGUUCUGCCCCUCCGUGCCACUGACCACCUUGUAGUUCGCCUGCGUCACUGUGCCUGUGAGGCACAAGAACCGCAGGAGGUCACCCCACCACGCGGAACCAAUCUUUUCCAAACCCAGGAGAUCGAUAUACAUCGGCACGAUGGGAUCAGAACGAUGCUAGAACAUCACAGACCAUAUCGGCUGUUCUUGUUCAUUACCCAAUAAUGGUACUUGAG